rnacentral:tRNA from 1 species
UAAGGCAGUGGUGAAACUGGUAGACACGCGGCGACGGCCGCUGGGCAUGGCCUUGGAGGUUCGAGUCCUCCCUGCCUUAG